rnacentral:tRNA from 1 species
GGAGGGGUGGCCGAGCGGACGAAGGCGGCAGUCUUGAAAACUGCUGGGCCCUCCGGGGUCUCGUGGGUUCGAAUCCCACCCCCUCCG